UCUUGGUCAUUUAGAGGAAGUAAAAGUCGUAACAAGGUCUCCGUUGGUGAACCAGCGGAGGGAUCAUUACCGAGUUAUACAACUCCCAAACCCCAUGUGAACCUUACCUAUUGUUGCUUCGGCGGGAUCGCCCCGGUGCCUCUGUCGCCCGGAACCAGGCGCCCGCCGGAGGUCUCUAAACUCUUGUUUGUCUGGUGGUAUUAUCUGAGUGGCGCAAGCAAAAAUAAAAUCAAAACUCUCAACAACGGAUCUCUUGGUUCUGGCAUCGAUGAAGAACGCAGCGAAAUGCGAUAAGUAAUGUGAAUUGCAGAAUUCAGUGAAUCAUCGAAUCUUUGAACGCAUAUUGCGCCCGCUAGUAUUCUAGCGGGCAUGCCUGUUCGAGCGUCAUUUGAACCCUCAAGCCCCAUUGGCUUGGUGUUGGGGAUCGGCCGCUGCGGCUCUGAGCUGCGGCAGGCCGGCCCCGAAAUCUAGUGGCGGUCUCGCUGUAGCCUCCUCUGCGUAGUAGCAACACCUCGCUCUGGAAGACAGCGUGGCCACGCCGUAAAACCCCCAAGUUUUACUAAGGUUGACCUCGGAUCAGGUAGGAAUACCCGCUGAACUUA
rnacentral:rRNA from 1 species